rnacentral:rRNA from 1 species
UACGGAGGGAGCUAGCGUUGUUCGGAUAUACUGGGCGUAAAGCGCACGUAGGCGGCGCCGUAAGUCAGGGGUGAAAUCCCGGAGCUCAACUCCGGAACUGCCCUUGAAACUGCAGUGCUAGAAUCUUGGAGAGGCGAGUGGAAUUCCGAGUGUAGAGGUGAAAUUCGUAGAUAUUCGGAAGAACACCAGUGGCGAAGGCAGCUCGCUGGAACAGUAUUGACGCUGAGGUGCGAAAGCGUGGGGAGCAAACAGG